AUACAGAGGGUGCAAGCGUUAAUCGGAAUUACUGGGCGUAAAGCGCGCGUAGGUGGUUUGUUAAGUUGGAUGUGAAAGCCCCGGGCUCAACCUGGGAACUGCAUUCGAUACUGUCAGGCUAGAGUAUAGUAGAGGGAAGUGGAAUUCCGGGUGUAGCGGUGAAAUGCGUAGAUAUCCGGAGGAACACCAGUGGCGAAGGCGGCUUCCUGGACUAAUACUGACACUGAGGUACGAAAGCGUGGGGAGCAAACAGGAUUAGAAACCCCGGUAGUCC
rnacentral:rRNA from 1 species